rnacentral:rRNA from 1 species
CGGGUGAGUAACACGUGGAUAACCUACCUAUAAGACUGGGAUAACUUCGGGAAACCGGAGCUAAUACCGGAUAAUAUAUUGAACAGCAUGGUUCAAUAGUGAAAGACGGUUUUGCUGUCACUUAUAGAUGGAUCCGCGCCGCAUUAGCUAGUUGGUAAGGUAACGGCUUACCAAGGCAACGAUGCGUAGCCGACCUGAGAGGGUGAUAGGCCACACUGGAACUGAGACACGGUCCAGACUCCUACGGGAGGCAGCAGCA